GUCAGCAUAAUUUAACCAAGAUACUAGGUUGUGGACCUAGAAAUAGAAGUUCAACCCUUCUUGCAGACC
rnacentral:tRNA from 1 species